UCUAUGUUUUCUCGAGCUCUCCAUCUUCACAAUAAUCCCUUUUUUUCUCCAUCUCUUGACUAGGAGAGGGACCACGGAAUCGUCGCUCGAAGAAGAAGGAGCGCCAGCUACAAACGGAGCUGCAGCGUUGGUGGCCUCUGAUGUGCCGUUGCCGCCGCCCAGAGUCUGUUGCUGCCAUCCAGAGUCUGUCGCUGCUCUUUGCCUUUCUGUUAGGAAGGUACAUGGGUAACGCUCACAUCGCUGCUGCUCUGCCUCUGCGUCCUCUUCGAUGUUCAACAUGAGGAUCAUGUGCUGCUUCCACAUCGAGCCAGGGGGAUUUACACAAGAGACGGGUAUCAAUCUACAUUAACAAGAGGUCACAGGUCAUACUGAAGUUAAAGAGCAAACACAUUGGAGGUGCGCUAUCAAAAAACAAUUGAAGUAGGUGUUUCAAAACCUAUUUAUUGAUAUGAUAGGGUCCUCACUAGGAGGCAUAAAAGGCAAGCAUAAGAUCACCUCAGCAGGCACUCCUGAUACUAGACCACUUCUUCUUGACAAUACAUGCUGUUGCUCAAGUAUGUCAAGAGGUAAUUUUAUCUUUGAGCUACUGGAAAUGGAUGCAAAAUUAGUGUGGCCUCCUGUAUGUAGCUCUAGGUUGAACAAAAUACCGGUGGAUACGCUAAUUUUACAUCAUUCCAUCCAGUGUUUGCUACUAUAAUAUAUUCCUCUCUUUUCCUGGUUGUAUAUAAAUGUUUCCUACUUUGUAA